rnacentral:rRNA from 1 species
UACGUAGGGUGCAAGCGUUAAUCGGAAUUACUGGGCGUAAAGCGUGCGCAGGCGGUUGUGUAAGUCAGAUGUGAAAUCCCCGGGCUCAACCUGGGAAUUGCAUUUGAGACUGCACGGCUAGAGUGUGUCAGAGGGGGGUAGAAUUCCACGUGUAGCAGUGAAAUGCGUAGAGAUGUGGAGGAAUACCGAUGGCGAAGGCAGCCCCCUGGGAUAACACUGACGCUCAUGCACGAAAGCGUGGGGAGCAAACAGG